GGGCACACUGGCCUGCCCCUGCCCUUGAGGUCGGCACCUUGGCGGUCUGAGAAUUUGGAGCUUGGUCAUGCUGGGCCUGUGGGCUGAGCUCCCAGGAGCCAAGGAGCAGAGAAAGGAUCGGCUACAGGAUCGGGCCUAGGUCAGAUCCUCAGAGGUAAGCCCCACAAAGGCAGGCGUGUUCGUCAGUGUCUAAGACCAUGCCUGGAAAUCAGUAAAUAUUUGUUGAAUGAACGAGGCUCCGAGACAUGUAGGAUGUACUCAAGGUCACACAGUAUGUCCGUGAGAGAGAAAGAGAUGCAAACCCAGCACUGUCUGAGGACAGCAAAUUAAAAGAAGCAUUCCACUCCAUUCUGAUCCUGGAUGAGGGAGUGCUCUGGUCUGGAAUAUACCAUUCUCACGGCGCAGAGGGCGUGAGUGGGAGCUGCGAGAAACAUGGAGUGCCUCUGAACACUUCUCCCGGGAUGUGAUGUACGUCACCCGUGCUCAUGCCACGUGGCCCAGGCCAGUAUCAGUGGGGGGUGGGGAAUGGUACUCCCUUCAGGAAGGUUCUGCAAGUCUCCAGCAACAGCUGGAGAGGCAUGAUCCUCUGAGGAAGUGGGCAAUACUGCAGUAUGCUGCCGGCAAUCGUGGGGGUGAUGGAGAUGGUGGGAUUGGCGGCCCCGGUGCUGAUGGCAGUGCCUCUUGGCUGACGGGAGCUGUGACAGCCAUGGAGGGGUGCUGGCAACAGGGGGAGUCACAACAUGCUCUAGCAACAGCGCUGACGCCAAGGGUGAUGACCUGGCAGAUGUGGUGUCCACCACCCUCCUCGACGGUCUCCUCUGCAUCCUAGAGAGUGAGGGAAGAUUUUCCAGAAUCCCUUAUGUGGUUCCCAGGUGGAGUCUGCCAAUGCAUGCGAUUUGGAAAGUGAAAGAGAAAGAAGCUGAAGGCAGAUGACAACCGGAGGUUUGCAGCAACUUCCGGCCAUCCUCUGAGACACCUGGGCUUCAAGGCUGCAGGCUGAGAUACUCCAGGGAGCUUCCUGGAAUAACGUGAGCUUCCAGCAGCUUCCUGGAGAGAGCUCUUGAGAUCCACUUACUUUGGAGCAUUAGGCAGACCCUCAGCGAUGACUUGUCCCUGAUCUUUAUGCCCCCAGGUCAUCCUACGGUUGUGAAAACUUAUAUUAAAUAUCUUCA